UGAGAGGAAAGGAAUGUGUUAAGCGGCUCUGGUGGUGGUUGCUAAGGAAACCAAGUUGAUCACCCUGCCCUGGUUUUUAGAGAAAAAGCACCCAGAGGGAUGUAGAAGUUUAGGGAAGAAGACAAAGGACGUGAAUCCACAUUUUGGGGAGAAAGAAGAAUGGUUCAUUGGAAAUUGUAGAAUGAGGAGAACUGUCACCAGCAACGAGAUUAUGUGCUUAUGUCGAGAAAGAGCCUGGCUUGCCUUGUUUUGGAAGAUGCCAGCAGCCAAUUUGUUGGGUGGCCGUGUUGAACUUGGAAUGGUGGAAAGGACCACAGAAUCAGAAAACCGGGAAGUUUCAGAAGUGACAAUGAGGAUUUUGGAAAACAGAGUGUACACACAUUUACUUAGCACCAAUUGAGAAAAAAAGAAAAAAUGAUUCGGAGCUUCCGCUCUGAAUAACGGAAAAAAUCUGGAAUGCAAAUCUUGACCUUUUGAAGAGGUGACAAAGAAUAGUUAGGAGGAAAACAUCUUUGAACAAAAUUGCCUACACUCAGCAUCAUUCAGCAGCGGAGACAAAUGAUGAAUAGAGUGCUCUGAAAUAAAAUUAAAUAUUUAA